rnacentral:rRNA from 1 species
AAUGAACGCUGGCGGCGUGCCUAAUACAUGCAAGUCGAGCGAACGGACGAGAAGCUUGCUUCUCUGAUGUUAGCGGCGGACGGGUGAGUAACACGUGGAUAACCUACCUAUAAGACUGGGAUAACUUCGGGAAACCGGAGCUAAUACCGGAUAAUAUUUUGAACCGCAUGGUUCAAAAGUGAAAGACGGUCUUGCUGUCACUUAUAGAUGGAUCCGCGCUGCAUUAGCUAGUUGGUAAGGUAACGGCUUACCAAGGCAACGAUGCAUAGCCGACCUGAGAGGGUGAUCGGCCACACUGGAACUGAGACACGGUCCAGACUCCUACGGGAGGCAGCAGUAGGGAAUCUUCCGCAAUGGGCGAAAGCCUGACGGAGCAACGCCGCGUGUGUGAUGAAGGUCUUCGGAUCGUAAAACUCUGUUAUUAGGGAAGAACAUAUGUGUAAGUAAAUGUGCACAUAUUGACGGUACCUAAUCAGAAAGCAACGGCUAACUACGUG